rnacentral:rRNA from 1 species
CGCGUAGGCGGCUCGACACGUCCGUUGUGAAAUCGCCCGGCUCAACUGGGCGGGGUCGAGCGGAUACGGUCGAGCUUGAGCAAGCUAGGGGGCAAUGGAAUUCCCGGUGUAGUGGUGGAAUGCGUAGAUAUCGGGAGGAACACCAGUGGCGAAGGCGGUUGCCUGGGGCUUUGCUGACGCUGAUGCGCGAAAGCGUGGGGAGCGAUCCGGAUUAGAUACCCGGGUAGUCCACGCCGUAAACGAUGUCGACUAGGUGUCGGGGGUAUCGACCCCCUCGGCGCCGCAGCUAACGCAUUAAGUCGACCGCCUGGGGACUACGGCCGCAAGGCUAAA